rnacentral:rRNA from 1 species
GACGAACGCUGGCGGCGUGCUUAACACAUGCAAGUCGAACGGAAAGGCCCUGCUUUUGUGGGGUGCUCGAGUGGCGAACGGGUGAGUAACACGUGAGUAGCCUGCCCUUGACUUUGGGAUAACUUCAGGAAACUGGGGCUAAUACCGGAUAGGAGCUCCUGCUGCAUGGUGGGGGUUGGAAAGUUUCGGCGGUUGGGGAUGGACUCGCGGCUUAUCAGCUUGUUGGUGGGGUAGUGGCUUACCAAGGCUUUGACGGGUAGCCGGCCUGAGAGGGUGACCGGCCACAUUGGGACUGAGAUACGGAGCAGACUCCUACGGGAGGCAGCAGUGGGGAAUAUUGCACAAUGGGCGGAAGCCUGAUGCAGCAACGCCGCGUGCGGGAUGACGGCCUUCGGGUUGUAAACCGCUUUCGCCUGUGACGAAGCGUGAGUGACGGUAAUGGGUAAAGAAGCACCGGCUAACUACGUG